rnacentral:rRNA from 1 species
GGAAGGAUCAUUGUCGAUACCUGUCCAAAACAGAACGACCCGCGAACAUGUAAUUACAAUCACCUGAUGAGGAAACGGGCUAUGGCUUUGAUCUUUCUGGUCCCUUGUCGGCGUGCGUUUGUGCCGCUUCGAAUGGAACGCCAUAGAUGUUUUGUUGACAAGUUAACCAACCCCGGCACGGAAUGCGCCAAGGAAAAAGAAAACAAAAGAAGGUUGUCCCGGUUUCCGCCCCGUUCGCGGUGUGCAUGCUGGUUGGGACUCUUUGAAACAUAAACGACUCUCGGCAACGGAUAUCUCGGCUCACGCAUCGAUGAAGAACGUAGCAAAAUGCGAUACUUGGUGUGAAUUGCAGAAUCCCGUGAACCAUCGAGUUUUUGAACGCAAGUUGCGCCCGAAGCCAUCCGGCCGAGGGCACGCCUGCCUGGGCGUCACACAUCGCGUCGCUCCCCCAUGCAUAUCAGAUUUGGGAUGCAUGGUGUCGGGGCGGAGAUUGGUCUCCUGUGCAACUGCUGCGGUGGCCCAAACAUGAAUCACCUUCGGUUGACGCACGGCUAGUGGUGGUUGAAUAAGCCCUCGUCUUCUGUCGUGCGUCGUUUGCUGCAAGGAAAGCUCUUGUAUAAAGACCUAAUGCGUUGUCUUGUGAUGACGCUUCGACCGCGACCCAGGUCAGGCGGGACUACCCGUUGAGUUUAAGCAUAUCAA